ACUCUCUGUGUUCACAGUACAGCAGACAGUGCCAGCUGAACACAGCCGUGUUUCCCCCUACUGACCAAGGCUGGUCAGAAUGAGUGAGAGUGAGCGUGAAAGACAUAAAGUAUUUGCUGUCCAAAUUUUAGGAAUUAUUAGAAAACAGGGAAACCCCAAAAGGUAACCAAGUCAAGGCAAGGCAAAGGUUGAAGAGAGUACUGAAAAAUCUUCUCAAACUGUUUAGAAAGGAUCCUUGAGGGAGAUGGCAGAAGGCUGGAGUGGCUGUGAGCCUGAGAGGCAGGAAAUGAGCCAGACUGAAACCCAGAUGCCUCUGUCAGAACUUCAAAGAGAGAACCAAUGGUAACAGCAAAGAAUCUAACAGGGCCAAAGCCGUGAAGCAUAUUCACAUAAGGAUCAGAGCACAGUCGGAGUCAGGAAACAGAGCCAAGAUAAAACCACUGGAAUAAAGGCACAAAACAUGGACAAGAAGAGUAGGGGCAGAGGCAGGGAGUGGCCUGGGUCCCAAAAGGAAUUCUGUUGCUGGAGUUGACAGACUAAUCAGCGUUUUGUCCUUCCUAGGCAGAGGCUCCACCUCCAGUGCACCUGUGAAGGCCUAGAGUGGGCUCAGGCAGUGAGAAACCGGAAAUGGAGCCCAAGCCCUCAGAGAUCAGAGCAUCUGUCAUACAAGGGCUACACAUGUACGAAGAAGGUGUCUUUAGCUGGUCAUUUGUCACCUCACUUUGUUCAUCACCGACAAAAAUCACUUCCGUGACCUUGUCCUAAGGGGCUGUCAUUGCAAAUGUAGGUAAGCCCAGAGAGCAGUGGGUUGGAUCCCUGGGUCUGGCUGCUUUCUAUGCUCCAGAGUGGUAAUGGACAUCCACCUUUCAGGCCCCCUCUUAUAUGCUGAGAGCACUUCCCUUCUUAGCUGUCUGUCAGUCAGGGUACACCAGCUCUAGGCUGUGAGGUUUCAGUUUGGGGACAGAGGUACUCCCCACAACAAAGUUUGGGAGCCCUGGUGCCCCACCUUCACGUUCUGAAGAUGCUAUUUCACCCAUGUUCUUUCCAGUAUGCAUCAAUAAUAGUGCAUUUAGCAUGGAGGCAUCCUGGAGUGCCCUUCACUUUCCCUUCUGGGAGGCAGACUGUGAUGAACAGUGAAGCCUUUCACAGCCACUCACAGAAGUCGUCUUUAAAAAAGAACAAAAACUCAAAAUUGCAAUUUGAACUUCCCCAAUUAUACCAUAAAUGGAACUCGGGAGCAGAAUAUGAGGAUGUUUGAGUUCCACUCUUCCUAAUUCACUGGUAAGGGGGCUUGAAAUCCCGGCUGCAUAGGUGGACGAAUCUUCUCCUUGUUAAAUUAUUUCCCAAGUACUAUAUUCCUUUUGAUUCUGCUGUAAAUGUACUUUUCCCCUCAACAUCAUUUUCUGGCUCAUGUAUAGCUAGUGUACAGAAGACAUUCAGUUUUGUUCACUAAAAUUCUCAUUUGUCAUGUAAAUACAGGCCAAGCCUCAGAACUCAGGUGUGACCCAUUUUAUGUUUUCUGCAAGUAUUUCAUUUUAGGCAGAACACUGCCUGACACUCAGGCACUCGAAAAUGUUGAAUGAAUGAGGCCACCAUCUCUCAUCCAUUCCUCCAUGACAGCACUUAUCUUGAUGUGUUGAAACCAUAUUCACAUGUCUGUCCAUCAGAUGGGAACUGGACACUAGAAUGAUCCCUGCCUUCAGAGGGAUCCCUGAAGGACUCACAUGUCUGUCCAUCACGUCGGAAUUGGACACUAGAAUGAUCCCUCUGAAGGCAGGAAUCCCUCUGAAGGCAGGGAUCACUCUGGCGUCCUAAGAACCCUGCACGGUACAUGUCACAUACCAGGUACUCAGCACAUGCCUGAAGACUCUAUGGGCAUGUAGUGGGAUGGGGCUGCAGCAUGAAGGGUUGAGCAUAUCACCAAAGGAAAUCUCAAUGUGUGGUGCUCCCUUUCCACAUCCACAUGUGAUUUGGGCCAGUCAUAGAAGCAACACUAGCAGAUUAAACAGUGUGUAUAUGUGCUUGCCUGUGUAUGAAGGAAAAAGAAUAUAAAUUCAAUAUUUAUCAUGGGUGAUUUAUGGAUUGGUUGACUGUAUGUAGAAUACACACUCGCUAUAUAGUUUGGAAAGGAUAUUAAAAACUUUUGAAUGAAAACCUGUCAAACACUUCCUCCUGACACUGCUAUCCAGGGAAAGUCAAUGGUAUGGUUUGAAUCUGUGUCCCUGUCAAAAAUCUCACGUUGAACUGUAUUACCCAGUGUUGGAGGUGGGGUCUUACGGGAGGUGACUGGAUCAUGGGGGUGGAUCGUUUAUGAAUGGUUUAGCACCAUCCACUUGGUGCUCUCUGGUGAUAGAGUUCUCAUGAGCUCUGGUUGGUUAAAACUGUGCAGCACCUCUCCCUUCUCUGUCUUGCUCGUGUUCCUACCGUGUAAGAUGCCUACUCCCGCUUUGCCUUCCACCACAAGUAAAAGCUCCCUGAGCCCUUCCCAGAAGCAGAUGCCUCCAUGCUUUCUAUACCGCCUGUGGAACUACGAGUCCAUUAAACCUCUUUUCUUUGUAAGUUAC